CACGUAGGGUGCGAGCGUUGUCCGGAAUUAUUGGGCGUAAAGAGCUCGUAGGCGGUGUGUCGCGUCGGCCGUGAAAACUUGCAGCUUAACUGUGGGCGUGCGGUCGAUACGGGCAUCACUGGAGUUCGGCAGGGGAGACUGGAAUUCCUGGUGUAGCGGUGAAAUGCGCAGAUAUCAGGAAGAACACCCGUGGCGAAGGCGGCUCUCUGGGACUGUACUGACGCUGAGACGCGAAAGCGUGGGGAGCGAACAGG
rnacentral:rRNA from 1 species